UGCCAGACUCCUACGGGAGGCAGCAGUGGGGAAUAUUGCACAAUGGGGGAAACCCUGAUGCAGCGACGCCGCGUGAGUGAAGAAGUAUUUCGGUAUGUAAAGCUCUAUCAGCAGGGAAGAAAUAGCGACCUUUGGGUCGCCAGACGGUACCUGACUAAGAAGCCCCGGCUAACUACGUGCCAGCAGCCGCGGUAAUACGUAGGGGGCAAGCGUUAUCCGGAUUUACUGGGUGUAAAGGGAGCGUAGGCGGCAGGGCAAGCCUGAUGUGAAAGCCCGGGGCUCAACCCCGGGACUGCAUUGGGAACUGCCCCGCUCGAGUGCCGGAGGGGCAGGCGGAAUUCCUAGUGUAGCGGUGAAAUGCGUAGAUAUUAGGAGGAACACCAGUGGCGAAGGCGGCCUGCUGGACGGUGUACUGACGCUGAGGCUCGAAAGCGUGGGGAGCAAACAGGAUUAGAUACCCGCGUACA
rnacentral:rRNA from 1 species